rnacentral:lncRNA from 1 species
GUCCAGUUUUGCCAAGAGAAUGAACGGACCUGCCUCUGCAAAGAUUUAUGAGAGAUGCAUCGCUCAUCCCUUCUUCAGGUCCAGAUUUAGAGAUAAGGACUCGCGCUGGGAUUUUGUUUGGCACCUUUCCAGCAUGUUAUGGACCAACUUAGUUCCCUAAAGCACAGCGUUAAGUAGUUUACCCAGUUACCUAUCCAGGAUAUGCUAAGGUUUCUUCAUCUCUGAGUGACCUGACAUUUGAGUUUUGGGAUCUGUAAGAGUGAGAGCACCAGACCUGAAGAAAAGAUGGCUCUCUUCAUCACUGAACAAUUGGAACUGGUUUGAAUCAUCCCAUUGUUGAAGAGAGCCGCGUCCAUCAGACUUGAUCAUCAUAUAGAGUCUUCUUGUUGUAAGGCAGAGAUUCUUAACCUGAAUUUAUUUU